GCGGAGGAAAAGAAACUAACAAGGAUUCCCCUAGUAACGGCGAGUGAAGCGGGAAGAGCUCAAAUUUGAAAGCUGGCACCUUCGGUGUCCGCGUUGUAAUCUCGAGAAGUGUUUUCCGUGCUGGACCAUGUACAAGUUCCUUGGAAUAGGACGUCAUAGAGGGUGAAAAUCCCGUACUUGACAUGGACGCCCAGUGCUUUGUGAUACACUCUCCACGAGUCGAGUUGUUUGGGAAUGCAGCUCAAAAUGGGUGGUAAAUUCCAUCUAAAGCUAAAUAUUGGGGAGAGACCGAUAGCGAACAAGUACCGUGAGGGAAAGAUGAAAAGCACUUUGGAAAGAGAGUUAAACAGUACGUGAAAUUGUCGAAAGGGAAGCGCUUGAAGUUAGACAUGCUUGCCGGGAUUCAGCCUUGCUUUUGCUUGGUGCAUUUCCCGGUGUGCAGGCCAGCAUCAGUUUUGUUUGCCGGAUAAGGGUGAGAGGAAUGUGGCCCCUCGGGGUGUUAUAGCCUCUCACUGGAUACGGCGGAUGGGACUGAGGACCGCAGUGUGCCUUUAUGGCGGGCCUUCGGGCACCUUCACACUUAGGAUGCUGGCGUAAUGGCUUUAAGCGACCCGUCUUGAACAACGGACCGAAA
rnacentral:rRNA from 1 species